CCAAUGAUUGGGAACCAGUUGAGGUUGAUAGAUCUCCUGGUUGCUAAAAUCAAAUACCCAUCUUUGUGCACCUUUUUUAUGUCUCUGGUGGUCGCAAGAGAAGUCUCUUAUUUGGAGGAUCUCUUCUAGUUCAUUCUGAUCCUCGGACAAAUGAAUGAAGCCACCAAAUGGUUGCUAUAACACACUUUUUUGCCGUCCAAAAUAUCUGUCUAACAUUGAUUUGUGUAAAAUACAUAAAA
rnacentral:misc_RNA from 1 species